rnacentral:sRNA from 1 species
GUUGCAUUCAGGGAAUGAUAAUUUGAUUUCCUACUGUUGCACCUGUUCUUUCUAAUGUAGGAAUACUAGAUCUGAGGAAUAGGAAAGCCAGUACCAGUCCAGUUUUAUUCUGAUUAGGAGUGCUUUUAUUAUAAAAGCAGCACAUUAGAGAGCUCUAGGGUUUUUCAGUGUUGAAAUCCUGUAGUCACAUUACUUUAGGAAGAGGUGAGUGAUCUUAGGAAAUGUGGAAACAUGACAGGGCAUACCUGAAACACACUAAGUCUGUACUUUGGGAAGGGCAGAAGUUAAGAAUUAAUCUAACUACUACUCCAACUGUCUUAGGUACUGAAGAAGACCUGGAAUUCUAUGUCAGGAAGUGUGGUGAUAUUCUUGGAGUAACCAGUAAACUACCAAAGGACCAACAGGAUGCCAAACAUAUCCUUGAGCACGUCUUCUUCCAAGUGGUGGAGUUCAAGAAAUUGAACCAGGAACAUGACAUCGAUACAAGUGAAACAGCAUUCCAGAACAAUUUCUGAAGACCAUGCCUCUUGAAGCUUUUUCUGCCUCCUGAUUCUCUCUUUGUAAACUAUUUUCAAAUUGUUUUUCAACUCCUUAUCAAAAUUGUUUAUACAGUCUUUCCUCCAUGAGCUCUGGAAGGUAUAUGCAUCUUCUGUAAUACUCAGAUAGGUAUAAGAUUUUUCACAAAAUCCUUAUGUAAGAUACAUUCCAUUUUUAAAAAUUAAAUGUAUGGUUGCAUCUGUCUUUUUAUA